GCCGCCCUAGCUCAGAUGGUAGAGCAACUCACUCGUAAUGAGUAGGUCUCCGGUUCGAUUCCGGAGGGCGGCUCCA
rnacentral:tRNA from 1 species